UACAGAGGGGGCAAGUGUUAUUCGGAAUUAUUGGGCGUAAAGGGCGCGUAGGCGGCCUGGCAAGUGGAAGGUGAAAUCCCUCGGCUUAACCGAGGAACUGCCCUCCAAACUGCUUGGCUUGAGUCCGGGAGAGGUGAGUGGAAUUCCCAGUGUAGCGGUGAAAUGCGUAGAUAUCGGGAGGAACACCAGUGGCGAAGGCGGCUUCCUGGCCUGUUCUUGACGCUGAGGCGCGAAAGCUAGGGGAGCAAACGGG
rnacentral:rRNA from 1 species